rnacentral:rRNA from 1 species
UUGAACGCUGGCGGCGUGCUUUACACAUGCAAGUCGAGCGGCAGCAUGGGGGCAACCCUGAUGGCGAGCGGCGAACGGGUGAGUAAUACAUCGGAACGUGCCUAAUAGUGGGGGAUAACCCAUCGAAAGAUGGGCUAAUACCGCAUAAGCUCUACGGAGGAAAGCAGGGGAUCGCAAGACCUUGCGCUAUAUGAGCGGCCGAUGCUCGAUUAGCUUGUUGGUGAGGUAAAGGCUCACCAAGGCAAUGAUCGAUAGCUGUUCUGAGAGGAAGAUCAGCCACACUGGGACUGAGACACGGCCCAGACUCCUACGGGAGGCAGCAGUGGGGAAUUUUGGACAAUGGGGGCAACCCUGAUCCAGCAACGCCGCGUGAAUGAAGAAGGCCCUAGGGUUGUAAAGUUCUUUUGUCUGGGAGCAAAACGUCUAUGCUAAUACCAUGGAUGGAUGAGAGUACCAGAAGAAUAAGCACCGGCUAACUACGU